rnacentral:siRNA from 1 species
GUUCGAGUGAUGAUGGUUCGCACA